CUCAAAUGACCAUUUGAAAUUCAAAUCCUACGAGUGGCCUUGAUUCUGUCAUCUACAAUCGCAGAACUCACUUUGUAGCUCCAUGGAGAGAUUUGCCCAAAGUAGUCGAUUCUGCUUCUGUAGCUCCUGUCAUCCUCUGUUGCCUGCACAAAUAUGGCAAAUGGUUUUGAUCUUCUCUAGUCCGCUUUUUUGUGGAUUCCAAUACCUAAGAUCAUUUGUACAACACCAAUUUGAAUUCAAAUUACAUUGAUAAAGAAUCUACGUCUUCCCUUCAUGAUUGGAGAGGCUUGUAGUAGAACCAAUACUCCAUCUAUAAGCGAGAACACUUUGUGCAUUCAGGUUCAUCUGAGCUUCUAUGCACCCAAAAUCAUUUGCUUACAACAUUUACACACUUUCAAGCAUAUUGACACCUUUAUGUUCUAUAGACUGUUCACUUUUUAUUUCAUCAAUCAAAACUCUUUGACGACCACAUGCCCUCUAGUUUGUAAAAGUUUUGCAUGGUCCAACCAAGCUCGUUGACAACUUCAUGUCAUUUGUUUUGUUCCUCUUCUAUAGGUCCAUUCCAAUCCUUUUUGGCAAUCACACGUCCUCC
rnacentral:lncRNA from 1 species